GGGAAACCAGCACGCACACUGCUCCUUCUCUCCGCUCUUCUCGCUUUCCCCCCCUUUCCAUUUUUCUCUCUUUUAUCUUCCUUCCCUCCCUUUCCCAGGUUUACCUUACCGGGGCCGGUGGCAUCUCCCUCCGUGAUGCCUUAGCGGCAUCCCGGGGCACGCAGUAGCAGCGGCGGGCGCAGGUUGGCCAGGGGCCGGGCCCGGCGCGACCUCAGGGUUCUCCUUUGGCGGCGGCAGUGGCGGCGGCGGCGGCGGCGGCAGAGGCUGCGGGCGGCAGCCCCGCGCGGGCAGCAUCAGAACUGGUCGGUGAUUUAGGUAGUUUCCUGUUGUUGGGAUCCAGCUUUCUCUCGACAGCACGACACUGCCUUCAUUACUUCAGUUGAAAUCGUCUCCAGUUUUCUUUCAUCGUCUCUCUGUGUUGUUUUUUUCUAUUCCCACCUCCUAUCCUCCACAACUCUUCCUUCAGGAGAGAUCCAGGGCUGGCUUUGGGAGAGCCUGAGGGGGUCUUAUUUUUCUCUGCGUGCUCAAGUGAAGGUCGGAAUCUGCCGAAGAAGGGUUCGCGUGGGGCGGCUGUUGAGGGCUGUGGAUCUGGGCCUGGUGUGCCGCUGCGCAGACAAGGCCUCGGUUACGAUCACGACCGGAUGGCGGCGGCCUUGCGUUCCUACUCCGCGGGUCUGCAAUGGCAGCCUAAGAGAGCGGAUUAGAGGGCACUCGCGGCGUUUUUGUGUGCCCACACCGAGGGCAAGGAGGCCUUCGCCAGCCUCACUGAGGACCUGAGGCUAGGACCUGGGCCGAGGCCCAGCCAGGCUCGGUGGAGCCUGGCGACGCAGAGGACUCCGUGGGGAAGCUUCUUCGGCUCUCCCGGGCCUGCCGAUCCCGGCUCGGGCUUUACCCGCGAUAAGGGAGCCCCGCUAGGGCAAACAUUGGCUGCUUGCUUGCCACUAGCUUCUAUCAGGUUCAGAGGAUGUUAGAUAUGGCAUCCUUGUGUGGAUGGGUGCUAGAGAAGGGGACCCUUCCAGCGCCAGUCUGUUUCAAAAAAUAGGGGAAGGGAUCCUAAAUUCCAGAACCGUUGGAAUACAAACUUGAGUCCUUGUUCCAAGUUGUAGUCCACCGUUGGAAGCCAGUCGGACCGUUCUCGCCACCCAGAACUGAAAAUAACCUCCAACCCUCCCUAACCACCCCAAACAAACACACACUCGCGGGCCUUCAGACUCACGCCCACCCCGCGGUGCUUCCCUUCGCAGCUGCGGCAGUGGGCCCGGGAACUGUUAUCUGAAAGGCCGGCACACCGCGUUCCCCUCAACUCCUCUGCCAUUUUCUGGACCUGAGUAUUGGAUUUGUUUUGGAGGCCGAAGUUUUAGAACUCUCAGGCGAGAAGAGGCGGUUUGUAAUUACAUGAAUUUAUUUCUUUAUGCGCACGCAAUUUUUUUCACUUCCAAAAUAAAAGCAGACACAAAAGCCUG
rnacentral:lncRNA from 1 species